AGAGCUGUUGCAAGAAGCAAUGUUGCUGCUAGGCGGCCAGCAGCUCAGCCCCUGCCGGGAGCGGGCUGUGGGAGGCCACUCUGCCCUGCGGGUAAGACGGCUUCACCUCAUCCACCUACGCCUCUCCCUGGGCCUCUCUGUCACCAGCUUCCCCCCUCAUGCUUCCUGGGCCUCAGGCUUUAUCCUUCUGAGAUCUCCCUCUGCCCACACUUGGCACAAAUUUGCCCCAUUCGCACAGCGUGAAACAAAGAUGCAACCAGAGAGCCGAUGGGAAGGCAGCUGGGCAAUGCCAAAGUUUACUGGGAAUCCUAGGAGUUUAUUUGUUCAUAAUGUUCUAUCUUUUAUAAAUAUCUAGGCCUGGCUUUUGGCCAUUUGGGAGUUUUCUGCCUGUGUGCAGUCUUUUCUGUUGCUCUGUCUACAUCUGCUUGUUUAAAUUUCCUAAUAAACUGACUUGAUGCACGAUGACAUCUCUCCAUUAGUCACAUGUUCUAUGAGUUUCUCCGUCAACUGCUUGGGCUCCUGCAUAGUGAAUCCAGCUCUGGUGCUCCUGCAGCCAAAAAAAUGAGCCUCAAAGGAAGGGAGAAGGCUAGGGUAGCCCCGACCCUGCGGUGCUGGGUGGUUUCUGGGGAGACUGAGAAGCAUUGGCCCUGGUGGGGAGCUUGAGCUCCGUGGAGGGUUCUGGGAGGCUCUUGUUCUUGCUAGCAUCCUUGGCUGUGCCUCCGACAACUGUGUCUUUUCUCUCUGCUUCUGUGCAGAUUUUGUGCAGCAAACUCUUGGGGCAGGCCCUUGGGGAGGGAAGACGUACCGCUGCCCAGGUGCCGAGUACAUGGGAUGAUUCUCAACAACAGGAGGGGAGCCACACUAUGACAUCAGGGCCAACCCUUGUGGCCAGCCCAGCUCCAGCAGCAGGGCAGCCGAGGGGUCCUCUCCUUCGGCUUGCACACUGCUCCUGUGUCCAUGAAGAAAAGAAAGGAUGGGUGGUGGUCCUUGAACGCUGCUUCCUGGGUGAGAGCUACGUUCCAGCAAGUUCCUUCUCAGCACUCGAAAGAAUUUCUAGGCUGCACAAGGGCAUAUUCUCUGCUUAUCCAGGCUCCAGAAUGACUGAUGCUCACUGUGCCAGAUGCUGGGGCCGGAAGAUGCUAAGCAAUGGCUCCUGGCCCUGGGGUGCUUACAUUCUGAUGAGGGAGACAAACAAGUAAAUGAGAAAUACUGUGUAAUGUGAUAAGUGCUGUGGCUGAGAGCCCUGAGGUAUUAAGGAAAUGCAUGAAAAUCUAACCCAGGUUUUUUUGGGGGUAGGGGGCGGUGCCAAGGUCAUAGAAAGCUCAUGGAGGAAGUGACACUUAGACCAAGUCAAGAAGGGUUAAGGCAACUGCUGGGAAGAGGGUGUGUCAGGGGACAUGGCAGGGAUGGGAUCUACUUCAGGCAGAGGCAACUAUGUGUGCAAAGGUCAGAGGUGAGAGGCAGCAUGACCAGUGGGGACAGCCCGAGUGGGGUGUGGCUGCAGAGUUGAGGGUGGGGGUGUCACAUGAGGAGAUGGGGCCAGAUAAGUGAGCAAAGUCCUCACGCAAGUGUGUGGACACUGUGUCCCAUACUGUGAAAGAUUCUUUGCUCAUCUUUGUGGCCUUUCAGAAUCUGGCACGUGAUUCAUGGUGGAGGCCUCCCUCUUGCCAUGACUAUAAUUGAAAAUCUGCUCCUUGGGAAAUGGGACCUUAGGGACUCUGCAUUCAUGCUAACCACAUGUAUCUUCCCUCCUGCCACAGUCUUUAACAGGAAGGAGGUGGAGCCAUGUUUGUGUUUGUGGACCAUUUAAAUACCUAGGCAAUACUAAACUGUGUCAGAGGCUUGUAAAGUAAGAAGCAGGAUUGGGACUAGGGGAGGCCGAGUCAAGCAAGUACAGCAUCCAGCCCUGUCUUUUGGUAAAAUUUUGAUAUUGUUUUC